CCCCCUGCUGUAAGGAGUCCCUGAGGAGAGGUUUAAACCCCCUGCUGUAGGGAGUCCCUGAGGAGAGGUUUAAACCCCCUGCUGUAGGGAGUCCCUGAGGAGAGGUUUAAACCCCCUGCUGUAAGGAGUCCCUGAGGAGAGGUUUAAACCCCCUGCUGUAGGGAGUCCCUGAGGAGAGGUUUAAACCCCCUGCUGUAGGGAGUCCCUGAGGAGAGGAGUCCCUGAGGAGAGGUUUAAACCCCCUGCUGUAGGGAGUCCCUGAGGAGAGGAGUCCCUGAGGAGAGGUUUAAACCCCCUGCUGUAGGGAGUCCCUGAGGAGAGGUUUAAACCCCCUGCUGUAGGGAGUCCCUGAGGAGAGGUUUAAACCCCCUGCUGUAGGGAGUCCCUGAGGAGAGGUUUAAACCCCCUGCUGUAGGGAGUCCCUGAGGAGAGGUUUAAACCCCCUGCUGUAGGGAGUCCCUGAGGAGAGGAGUCCCUGAGGAGAGGUUUAAACCCCCUGCUGUAGGGAGUCCCUGAGGAGAGGUUUAAACCCCCUGCUGUAGGGAGUCCCUGAGGAGAGGUUUAAACCCCCUGCUGUAGGGAGUCCCUGAGGAGAGGUUUAAACCCCCUGCUGUAAGGAGUCCCUGAGGAGAGGUUUAAACCCCCUGCUGUAGGGAGCAGACAGUGGCAUAUCUCCCAGGGUUUGUGUCCCACAAUGGCACUAUAUUCCCUAUCCUGUGCACUAUUUUUCAACCAGGACCCAGGGCACUAGAUAGGGAAUAGGUGCAGACCCAGUAACAUGGAAACAUAGUGAAGCAAACCACUGAUCUGAAUAAAACAAUUUAUGACUGUAUUAACCAACACUGUGUGUCCCAAAUGGCACCCUAUUCCCUAUAUAGUGCACUACUUUAGACCAGAGCCCUUUUCCUAUAUAGUACACUUCUUUUGACAAGAGCCCUAUUCCCUAUAUAGUACACUUCUUUUGACAAGAGCCCUAUUCCCUACAUAGUGCACUACUUUAGACCAGAGCCCUAUUCCCUAUAUAGUGCACUACUUUAGACCAGAGCCCUAUUCCCUAUAUAGUGCACUUCUUUUGACAAGAGCCCUAUUCCCUAUAUAGUACACUUCUUUUGACAAGAGCCCUAUUCCCUAUAUAGUGCACUUCUUUUGACAAGAGCCCUAUUCCCUAUAUAGUGCACUACUUUAGACCAGAGCCCUAUUCCCUAUAUAGUGCAGUACUUUUGACUAGAGCCCUAUUCCCUAUAUAGUGCACUUCUUUUGACAAGAGCCCUAUUCCCUAUAUAGUACACUUCUUUUGACCAGAGCCCUAUUCCCUAUAUAGUACACUUCUUUUGACCAGAGCCCUAUUCCCUAUAUAGUGCACUACUUUAGACCAGAGCCCUAUUCCCUAUAUAGUGUACUUCUUUUGACAAGAGCCCUCCCUAUUCCCUAUAUAGUGCAGUACUUUUGACUAGAGCCCUCCCCUCCAUAGGGCGGCGCACAAUUGGCCGUCGUUGUAAAAUAAGAAAUUGUUCUUAA